UACGUAGGGUGCGAGCGUUAAUCGGAAUUACUGGGCGUAAAGCGUGCGCAGGCGGUUCGUUAUGUCCGAUGUGAAAGCCCCGAGCUUAACUUGGGAAUGGCAUUGGAAACUGGCGGGCUGGAGUGCGGCAGAGGGGGGUGGAAUUCCACGUGUAGCAGUGAAAUGCGUAGAUAUGUGGAGGAACACCGAUGGCGAAGGCAGCCCCCUGGGCUAGCACUGACGCUCAUGCACAAAAGCGUGGGGAGCAAACAGG
rnacentral:rRNA from 1 species